GUUCCUAUAUAACGUUGUUAUUUUGGUACAAGUAAACUUAGUAGUGUGGAGUAAGAGUUACAGUGCUGUCGUGUUUCUAGAAACGAUGAAGGAAAUUAAUUUAUUGUUUAUUAUUGUUAUAUUUACUUUGAUGGAGUCGGUUAUAGGCCAACCUGUGAGUGCUCAAGCUUUUACUUUUUCCUACGAGAAUUACCGAGAUAAGUACCAAAAAAUCAGAAGCGGACAAACCGACGAAAUUGCCAACGUACAGCAACAUGGAGAAUUGACAAAAGGCAACGGUAACUUCCCGGGACUACAGACACCUUACGCUUCCUGGUACAAAAAGUUCUAUAAAACUUAGUUGCAUCUGGUUAAUGUUUUGUAAAAUUAAUAUUGAAGGUAAAUGUGUGUACUCAGAAACUUGGCUGCGUUAUACCUAAUUAAGUUUUAUAAGUAAGACAUUAUACUUUUUCUUCAAGCUUUACUUACAAUGUAAAUAAAGUUAUUAAUAUAAAUAUGAGUUAAUAUUAUUUAUUUUAGUAUCUAC